rnacentral:rRNA from 1 species
AUUGAACGCUGGCGGCAUGCCUUACACAUGCAAAUCGAACGGUAACGGGCCUUCGGGUGCUGACGAGUGGCGAACGGGUGAGUAAUACAUCGGAACGUGCCCGAUCGUGGGGGAUAACGACGCGAAAGCUUUGCUAAUACCGCAUACGAUCUACGGAUGAAAGCGGGGGACCGCAAGGCCUCGCGCGGUCGGAGCGGCCGAUGGCAGAUUAGGUAGUUGGUGGGGUAAAGGCUCACCAAGCCAACGAUCUGUAGCUGGUCUGAGAGGAUGACCAGCCACACUGGGACUGAGACACGGCCCAGACUCCUACGGGAGGCAGCAGUGGGGAAUUUUGGACAAAGGGCGCAAGCCUGAUCCAGCAAUGCCGCGUGCAGGAAGAAGGCCUUCGGGUUGUAAACUGAUUUUGUACGGAACGAAACGGCUCUGGUUAAUACCCGGGGCUAAUGACGGUACCGUAAGAAUAAGCACCGGCUAACUACGUG